UGGGGAAUAUUGCACAAUGGGCGCAAGCCUGAUGCAGCCAUGCCGCGUGUAUGAAGAAGGCCUUCGGGUUGUAAAGUACUUUCAGCGGGGAGGAAGGGAGUAAAGUUAAUACCUUUGCUCAUUGACGUUACCCGCAGAAGAAGCACCGGCUAACUCCGUGCCAGCAGCCGCGGUAAUACGGAGGGUGCAAGCGUUAAUCGGAAUUACUGGGCGUAAAGCGCACGCAGGCGGUUUGUUAAGUCAGAUGUGAAAUCCCCGGGCUCAACCUGGGAACUGCAUCUGAUACUGGCAAGCUUGAGUCUCGUAGAGGGGGGUAGAAUUCCAGGUGUAGCGGUGAAAUGCGUAGAGAUCUGGAGGAAUACCGGUGGCGAAGGCGGACCCCUGGACGAAGACUGACGCUCAGGUGCGAAAGCGUGGGGAGCAAACAGG
rnacentral:rRNA from 1 species